GACGAACGCUGGCGGCGUGCUUAACACAUGCAAGUCGAACGGUAAGGCCCUUCGGGGUACACGAGUGGCGAACGGGUGAGUAACACGUGGGUGACCUGCCCUGCACUUCGGGAUAAGCCUGGGAAACUGGGUCUAAUACCGGAUAGGACUCCGGACUGCAUGGUCUGGGGUGGAAAGCUUUUGCGGUGUGGGAUGGGCCCGCGGCCUAUCAGCUUGUUGGUGGGGUGAUGGCCUACCAAGGCGACGACGGGUAGCCGGCCUGAGAGGGUGACCGGCCACACUGGGACUGAGAUACGGCCCAGACUCCUACGGGAGGCAGCAGUGGGGAAUAUUGCACAAUGGGCGCAAGCCUGAUGCAGCGACGCCGCGUGAGGGAUGACGGCCUUCGGGUUGUAAACCUCUUUCAGCAUCGACGAAGCAAAAGUGACGGUAGGUGCAGAAGAAGGACCGGCCAACUACGUGCCAGCCGCCGCGGUAA
rnacentral:rRNA from 1 species